rnacentral:rRNA from 1 species
CAAUAGCGUAUAUUAAAGUUGUUGCAGUUAGAACGCUCGUAGUCGGAUUUCGGGGCGGGUCGACCGGUCUGCCGAUGGGUACGCACUGGCCGACGCGUCCUUUUUGCCGGAGACCGUCCCUACUCUUAACUGAGCGGGGUCGGGAGACGGCACUUUUACUUUGAAAAAAUCAGAGUGUUUCAAGCAGGCAGCUCGCUCUUGCAUGGAUUAGCAUGGGAUAAUGAAAUAGGACUUUGGUGCUAUUUUGUUGGUUUCGAACACCGAAGUAAUGAUGAGAAGGGACAGUCAGGGGCACUCGUAUUCCGCCGAGAGAGGUGAAAUUCUCAGACCGGCGGAAGACGAACCACUGCGAAAGCAUUUGCCAGGGAUGUUUUCACUGA